CAGAGGAUAUACGCCUCAACUUAGCUGAUAAAUCUUUUAUUGAUCACCUGUGUUAAGGCUGAACCAACCGGUAAAACAUUCCUAACCAAAGAUACAAGAGAAGCAUUGCUGUGAUUAUGUCUUUUUACGUAUGAACUGGAGUGGUUUGGCUCAUAGUCACAUGGAUCGUGGUACGCUCCGGUAUGCCUUACGAAAAGUGGUACAUGGUUCGUGCCUUUCUAAAAUUCAUCGAGUACCUACGUGUUAUUAAAUCGAGGACAAACUUAUUUGGAAUGGCAUUUGUUGGACCCAUUGUCACAUCUGGGGACACGAGAUGAACGACACAAAAAUUUUAACCCAUAUUCAACAGUUUUCACACAUACGUUUCAUCAAGAACCUACAUGUUAUUAAGCCGAGGACAAUUUGGUUUAGCGCGCAGCAACGCGCACAGGGUAUAAAACUAGUUACCAAUAAAGGCCGAAUGUGGACAACAACUAGGAUAGUGCGUAGUUGGUGUGCCUCGCUGCACCUUAGCACCUAGGUACGUGCCUCACAUGCUUUUGACAACAUAGCUUGAAUGUCAUUUUUAUGCUUUUGUAACGCCAAAUUUUGAUGAAUUCAUGAAGGAGAUAGCUUACGAAGGAGUUGAAAUACUUGACAAUGAUAAUGUUGGGAAAGGAGUAGAGGAAUACUCGGCUGCGGAUAUAGAUGGCAUUCGUGAAGAUUGGUCGACUUGUGCGGUUACCUCUAUUUUUAAGUGACAAAUCGUAUUUUAGGUGUUGACGAUGUAUUGACAAACAAUUCUUUUUUUUUUUUUUGUUAACGUUAAAAUAUUUGUAGUAUACUUGACAAAUGAUUAUGUAAUGGAUUGUUUUGGUA